UACAGAGGUCCCGAGCGUUGUUCGGAUUCACUGGGCGUAAAGGGUGCGUAGGUGGUUGGCAAGUCUGAUGUGAAAUCUCCGGGCUUAACCCGGAAAUGGCAUUGGAAACUGCUUGGCUAGAGUGUUGGAGGGGGGACUGGAAUUCUCGGUGUAGCAGUGAAAUGCGUAGAUAUCGAGAGGAACACCAGUGGCGAAGGCGAGUCCCUGGACAACGACUGACACUGAGGCACGAAAGCUAGGGGAGCAAACAGG
rnacentral:rRNA from 1 species